rnacentral:lncRNA from 1 species
UGUUGUUGGGUCUGCUGGUAUUGUUGUUGCUGGGCUGCUGUUGGGUUGGUAUGUUAUUGGGUCUACAGCUGGCAACAAAUCAGAUCUGGUUCGGGUCAGUAGUUUGGAUCGACGGUACGGGUCAAGUUGAACCGACUGUUCUUUUUCUUUUUCUUUCUUUUUCCUUCUUCUUUCAACUCAAACCCUAGCCCAUUUUUUUCUUUUCUGACGCUUCAUUUGCCCGGCGGUGCGACAGUCGUUGGUGUUUUACCCCUCAUAUCUUUUCUCCUCUUUCUCUUCUCUCUUCUUUCUCUUUUUUUCUUCUCUUUUCUUCCUCUUUUUUCUCUUCCCGUUUUGUUUAUUUUUCAGGGGACCUGAAGAUGUUGCAAAUCGUCUCAUCCACCGCCGUUCGUCGCUCAUCGCUCGGGCCACGGCCGGACCUUUCCCUUUUGCCAGCGUCUUCCCCUAAAAGGUGAGUUAUAUUUUUUUAUUUUUAUAUUUUGGUUGUUGCGAUUGCUCGGGUUUUAAUAAUGGCGGAUGGAAAGUGGCAAGGCAGUGGGGGCGAUGACGGUCACGGUGGCGGUGGGGGAAGCGGCCAUGACGAUUCGAAGGUAACAAAGCUAUUUUUUUUCUUUUUUUGAAGCCCUUUUUUUCUUUUUUCUACCUCUGUUCCUGGCUGCCGAUUUUUUGCAAGAAAAACAUCCUCUUAUUGUUGUUGAUUACUCCUUUUUCUCUUUGUUUUCAGGUAGCAGUUGAGGAGGGCCAUCAUGACCCUAGGCCGGCCGCCGAAAAUAACGGAG